CGCCCAGGAACACCGAGGCAAAAUGCAGCUCUCCUUCCUCCGGCGAGCGCUCCACCAGCGCUGGCCGCACGCCGCCUCCCCUUUCCCCUUCACCGCCGUAAUCCGGCCUCGUACCUUUUCCGCCGCUUCCGCCACGCCGGCGCCGGCGCCGUCACCCAAGGACGCGCGCGAUGCGCCGCCGCCGUUGAUGCCGACGCGGCCUUGGGAGGAGGCGCUCGCGGCCUCGCAGCGCGCCUUCUGCCUGCCGCUCGCGGGCCGCGUCCUCGCCGCCUCGGCGACCGGGAACGCCGCCGUGUCCCCCGCCGCGGCGCACGCCUCGCUCGCGCUCGCCGCCGCCGGCGCGCGCGGCGCGACGCGGAGGCAGCUCCUGCAGGUGCUGGGCUGCGGCGGAGGGGGCAGGGGCGCCGCGGCCGACGCGGCAAACGUGGCGUCGCGCGUGGUGAAGCGGGUGCUCAGGGACCGGUCCCCGUCCGGCGGGCCGGUGCUGCGGUUCGCUGGAGGAAUCUGGGCCGACGCCUCCACUAGGCUAUCGCCGGCGUUCGUGGAGGCCGCCCGUGACGUGUACGGCUCCGAGGCGAGGACGGCCGACUUCAUGAACGAGCCAGAAGCCGCUGCGAAGCAAAUUAACUCGUGGGUCAUAGAGUCCAUGAAAUGUACAGUUACCUCGCUCCAACCGGAUGUGUCAUUUGACCAGAAUACAGGACUUGUUCUUGGCAGCGUACUGUAUUUUGGGGGAAGAUGGCUUCAUCGGGCUGAUAUAAGGAGCACUGCAGCGCAAAAGUUCUGCUGCCUGGAUGGAACUUGUGUUGAUGUCCCUUUUGUGGAAUAUGAUAGAACUCGACUUUUUGCUGUCCAUGAGGGAUUUAAAGUCAUUAAGCUUCCUUAUCAGCAAGGAAGGAAUGAACGGAAGUUCUCCAUGUAUAUCUUCCUACCUGAUGCUCAUGAUGGCUUGUUUGAAUUAACUAAGAAAAUUUUUGCUGAACCAUCAUUCUUAGAACAACAUUUGCCAACAGAGAAGCGACAUGUGGAUAUCAGGGUGCCCAAGUUCACAGUAUCUUUUCAGAUCAAUAUGAAGGAAAUUCUCAAAGAAAUGGGCCUUGAAUUACCCUUCCAUCGUGAUGCAGAUUUCGCAGACAUGGUCAAGGAUGAUGAAUCCAGUGGCCCUUUGUUUUUAUCUGAUGUACUUCAUAAAGCGAUUUUGGAGGUUAAUGAUAAAAUGAUUGAAGAGGCUUCAUUCUCAAUGGGCAUAGGCAAACCUUCACCAGCAGAGCACUUUGUUGCCGAUCACCCCUUCUUCUUUGUCAUUAGGGAAGAGGUGUCUGGCUCAGUAAUCUUCAUGGGGCAUAUACUGGACCCUUCAUCACAAUCAUAACUUCUGGUUCUGGGCUUUUAUCAGCAAAUUAAGGUUAGAUUGUCUUCAAUGAUAGCAUGCACAGCUGUGUCGCAAGCCUGGGACAGCAGUUGCCUCGUAUUGAUCAAAAGGAGAAGAAUUUCUUUGCACGGACACAUGGACUGAAAGCCAUAUUAAGCGAAAUCAGAAGUGAUGUGAUAAAUUUCAUCAGUUGCGGGUUGAGAGCUCUGUUUCCUUGAACAUUCAUAUUUGAUUCCUCCUGGUGGUUGAGAGCUCUGGUGGCAUUAACGCGAGGAACCUCUCCGGUGGUUGCGGACAGCAUACUUCAAUGGUUGGUGUGCACAUUGCAUAAUCAGGCCCCACAUCGCCGCGAAGAUUCCAUCAAAAGCCGCCGCGCAGCCCUGGACGCAGUCUGCAUAAGGUUUAUGUUACCGUUGAUACCUUAAAAAUUGGUGGUCACCGGUAACAAUAAUCGAUCGAUUAUCGACGAUUAUCAGUAAAAAUCGACUGAUAAGGACGGUUAAAUUCAAAUUGUUGAUAAUUGAUAUUUAUCAACUAUAAUCGGUGCUUUUCGACUGAUAAAUCGAGAAAUAUGU